CUCUCCUCCACUAUCUUAGUGAUCCCCGAAAGGGACCUAUUUGGACUUUACUGCAGCACAAAGCACAGAAAGAAUAGAAUAUAAGAGAUUAUAGUCGUGCUGAGACCAAGCAGAAAGAAAGAGUUGAGGGAUGGAGAGACACUGAAACAGGACAGGAAAAAGGAGCACAGAGUGAUGCCAAGUAGAAGGAACACCAUGAAGAUGCGCGCGAGUUCGGUGAUGCCCUGCCUGCUCUUACUAUGGUUAACGUGUACAUGCGUGCAUGCAGAAUGUCCCGCCGCUUGCUCGUGUAGCGAGAGCCAUAGGACCGUUGACUGUUCCUGGAGGGGGUUUCGGCAUCUGCCGACGGGCCUGCAGAGAAACAUCCAAUCCCUCAAUCUGACUCACAAUCGGCUAUCUGACCUUGACCACCACCUGAGCUCCUUCACACAUCUGCGCAUCCUGGACAUCUCCUAUAACCGUCUUCUUCAUUUCCCAGCAUCCCUGCCACGGGCGCUGUGGGAGAUCAACAUCUCGGGAAACCGCCUACGUGUACUACACAAGGAUGACACGGCAUUCCAGUGGAACCUCAGAGUUCUGGACCUGUCCGUCAACAAGCUGGAGCGUGUGGUCUUCAUCAACAACACACUCCCCAACCUGAAGGCUCUCAACCUCAGUCAUAACAAGUUCUGGACCGUGCCCACCAACAUGCCCCAAAACCUGGAGGUGGUGGAUCUAUCCCACAACACUCUGGUCCAGAUCCUGCCGGGGUCCCUGAUCCGGCUACACAGGCUGGCUCAGUUCUACCUGCAUGCAAAUCACUUUACUAUGGUCAGCGAAGGGGCAUUCGAGCAUCUGCAAGGUCUGAAGCUCAUUACUCUCGGGGACAAUCCGUGGGCUUGUGAAGAAACCGCCAACAUCAGCCACCUGGUGCUGUGGACCAAACACACUUCCGCCAGAGUGUUGGGCUGCCCCUGCCACACCUGGCACACCUGCGGAGAAGCUCACAUGUCCAGGCACUUUGGCACCUACACACUGUCCCCGUACGUCUUUGGAACAGAGGAGCCAAGCCAUCCCUAUGUACAAGCGGUCACCACACACUCCUGGACAGGGACGUCACUCCUAAACACCUGGGAAGGAUCCCGAAGCACCAAGAACGACUCGACUUCUGAGGUUUCCGAUUCAAAAAGUACAGAAGGCCCAAUCACACCAGUCGACGAGUCCACCACCAUCUCCACCACCCGCAGGACCACCACUCUCCGCACGAGGAGCGUGAAGAGACCCAAUCAGAACCUCAGCAGAAACACGAGCUCGGGACGCAGUGGUGGCUCACUCUACACAUCCGUCUGCUGUCUGCUGCCCCUGGUGGCCGUGACACUACGGCUCUGACGGUCACCAGAACAACACUGGACCAUACUAAAAAUCAGGAAACACUGCACAUCCCCACUCGGAGAGAUAUAACACGUUUACGCUGAACACUGCUGGUGCUGAUCAGAGAAAUGGCUCUAAAGGUGGACAUCUGUGUGGUCCUGCUGGUUGUGAUGUCUGGCUGUAUGAUGGUCCAAAUACAGGCUACUGAUCCACAGACCAACACUACUGCGUCUAACAACCCCACAGCCAACAGCACAAGCAAUAGCUCUACUUCACCCACACCAGCCCCAACCAAGAAUGGCAAUGGCAAUAACCAGAACAUGAACGGCGCCACUACAGCCAGUUCCUCCGGCAGCACAAAUAAUAUUAUGAACAACUUCAACAGCAACAUCAACCAGAACGCUAAACAAACAACUCCUAUCCCCCAUGCUAGCAGUUCCUCCUCUUCCUCCAUGACUUGCUUCUUCAAGCUUCUGCUGUCUGUGUUCAUGGCUCUGCGCUUUCUGCCGAUCAUACAAUGACCAUCAACUCUUGUGCUUCGAAGGUAGACAAUCAUGUAAGAUUCUUCAGAGACUUAAUAGUCCGUUUCUGAAACGCUACAAAGUUUUAUAGAUGUUGUGCAAACAGCUUUUUGCUUAAGAAUAUUUCAAAUAUUGUUACUAUUCGCACCAUUAUUCAGCAGGCAGUCUGGGUAUCUUUAAUUUUUUGUUGUAAAAUGCUGUAAUAUCUUCAUAGAUUUCCCCUUUGUUGAUUAAAUGAUCUAUCUGUUAUUACUUUAUUGGUUGUUCUCUGUAGCAAUAAAACUUUGAACA